rnacentral:rRNA from 1 species
CCAGCAGCCGCGGUAAUUCCAGCUCCAAUAGCGUAUAUUAAAGUUGUUGCAGUUAAAACGCUCGUAGUCGGAUUUCGGGGCGGGUCCGCCGGUCUGCCGAUGGGUACGCACUGGCGGGCGCGUCCUUCCUUCCGGAGACUGGCCCUACUCUUAACUGAGCGGGGUCGGGAGUCGGAUCGUUUACUUUGAAAAAAUCAGAGUGUUUCAAGCAGGCAGCUCGCUCUUGCAUGGAUUAGCAUGGGAUAAUGAAAUAGGACUUUGGUGCUAUUUUGUUGGUUUCGAACACCGAAGUAAUGAUUAACAGGGACAGUCAGGGGCACUCGUAUUCCGCCGAGAGAGGUGAA